rnacentral:rRNA from 1 species
AAAUUGAAGAGUUUGAUCAUGGCUCAGAUUGAACGCUGGCGGCAGGCCUAACACAUGCAAGUCGAACGGUAACAGGAAACAGCUUGCUGCUUCGCUGACGAGUGG